rnacentral:rRNA from 1 species
UACGAAGGGUGCAAGCGUUACUCGGAAUUACUGGGCGUAAAGCGCGCGUAGGCUGUUUGUCAAGUCAGGGGUGAAAUCCUGGGGCUUAACCCCAGAAUUGCCUUUGAAACUGUCAAACUAGAGUGUCGGAGGGGAUAGCGGAAUUGCUAAUGUAGAGGUGAAAUUCGUAGAUAUUAGCAGGAACACCGGUGGCGAAGGCGGCUAUCUGGACGACAACUGACGCUGAGGCGCGAAAGCGUGGGGAUCAAACAGG